GAUGAACGCUGGCGGCGUGCCUAAUACAUGCAAGUCGAGCGAACGGACGAGAAGCUUGCUUCUCUGAUGUUAGCGGCGGACGGGUGAGUAACACGUGGAUAACCUACCUAUAAGACUGGGAUAACUUCGGGAAACCGGAGCUAAUACCGGAUAAUAUUUUGAACCGCAUGGUUCAAAAGUGAAAGACGGUCUUGCUGUCACUUAUAGAUGGAUCCGCGCUGCAUUAGCUAGUUGGUAAGGUAACGGCUUACCAAGGCAACGAUGCAUAGCCGACCUGAGAGGGUGAUCGGCCACACUGGAACUGAGACACGGUCCAGACUCCUACGGGAGGCAGCAGUAGGGAAUCUUCCGCAAUGGGCGAAAGCCUGACGGAGCAACGCCGCGUGAGUGAUGAAGGUCUUCGGAUCGUAAAACUCUGUUAUUAGGGAAGAACAUAUGUGUAAGUAACUGUGCACAUCUUGACGGUACCUAAUCAGAAAGCCACGGCUAACUACGUGCCAGCAGCCGCGGUAAUACGUAGGUGGCAAGCGUUAUCCGGAAUUAUUGGGCGUAAAGCGCGCGUAGGCGGUUUUUUAAGUCUGAUGUGAAAGCCCACGGCUCAACCGUGGAGGGUCAUUGGAAACUGGAAAACUUGAGUGCAGAAGAGGAAAGUGGAAUUCCAUGUGUAGCGGUGAAAUGCGCAGAGAUAUGGAGGAACACCAGUGGCGAAGGCGACUUUCUGGUCUGUAACUGACGCUGAUGUGCGAAAGCGUGGGGAUCAAACAGGAUUAGAUACCCUGGUAGUCCACGCCGUAAACGAUGAGUGCUAAGUGUUAGGGGGUUUCCGCCCCUUAGUGCUGCAGCUAACGCAUUAAGCAUUCCGCCUGGGGAGUACGACCGCAAGGUUGAAACUCAAAGGAAUUGACGGGGACCCGCACAAGCGGUGGAGCAUGUGGUUUAAUUCGAAGCAACGCGAAGAACCUUACCAAAUCUUGACAUCCUCUGACCCCUCUAGAGAUAGAGUUUUCCCCUUCGGGGGACAGAGUGACAGGUGGUGCAUGGUUGUCGUCAGCUCGUGUCGUGAGAUGUUGGGUUAAGUCCCGCAACGAGCGCAACCCUUAAGCUUAGUUGCCAUCAUUAAGUUGGGCACUCUAAGUUGACUGCCGGUGACAAACCGGAGGAAGGUGGGGAUGGCGUCAAAUCAUCAUGCCCCUUAUGAUUUGGGCUACACACGUGCUACAAUGGACAAUACAAAGGGUAGCGAAACCGCGAGGUCAAGCAAAUCCCAUAAAGUUGUUCUCAGUUCGGAUUGUAGUCUGCAACUCGACUACAUGAAGCUGGAAUCGCUAGUAAUCGUAGAUCAGCAUGCUACGGUGAAUACGUUCCCGGGUCU
rnacentral:rRNA from 1 species